GACGAACGCUGGCGGCGUGCUUAACACAUGCAAGUCGAACGGAAAGGCCCUGCUUUUGUGGGGUGCUCGAGUGGCGAACGGGUGAGUAACACGUGAGUAACCUGCCCUUGACUUUGGGAUAACUUCAGGAAACUGGGGCUAAUACCGGAUAGGAGCUCCUGCUGCAUGGUGGGGGUUGGAAAGUUUCGGCGGUUGGGGAUGGACUCGCGGCUUAUCAGCUUGGUGGUGGGGUAGUGGCUUACCAAGGCUUUGACGUGUAGCCGGCCUGAGAGGGUGACCGGCCACAUUGGGACUGAGAUACGGCCCAGACUCCUACGGGAGGCAGCAGUGGGGAAUAUUGCACAAUGGGCGGAAGCCUGAUGCAGCAACGCCGCGUGCGGGAUGACGGCCUUCGGGUUGUAAACCGCUUUCGCCUGUGACGAAGCGUGAGUGACGGUAAUGGGUAAAGAAGCACCGGCUAACUACGUG
rnacentral:rRNA from 1 species